GUACCCUCUAAAUACAUUUUUAUAGCCUGAGGUUUGCCUGUUCUGCCACCCUGCAAGCAGCUCUGUGGUGUGGGUCACUCUCUAGGAGAAGAGGGGCUGCAUCGGGAGAUAAAAUGUCUCUCAAAUUCUUUCAGGUGCUGUGAUCAGUGAGACCUGCUCCAGUGUGAUUUGUGAGCUGAGCCAGUGGAGAUGUUCUCCUUUGGCAGAAACACAACCCUAAGGAAUCUCCUGAGGCAAUAAUUCCUCCUUUGUCCUCAGGUGGGACCAGUCCAUCACAGCUCGGAUUCCAGUGAGACUGUUACCCCUGAGCUGCCUCCUAACCAGCUGAACUCUGAGAAAUGCCUGUUCCCCCGGCCUGGGAGGGCUCUUCCAGCCUCAGUGAUUAUCCAGAGACCAGGAGCUAUCCCCCUCAGGAUGGUGUGUUUAUUUUCCUCAGUCUCAGUGAGAGAACAGUGACCCAAAACAUCUGGAUGUAAACAAUUGCUUUCCUAAACAGUUCUCCUGUGAGCCUUUACUGUGUGAUCAGAGGAGACUGUUCCCCUUGAGUUGCAUUUUAUUCAGCUGAACUCUGAGGAAAUUCCUGUUCCCCUGGGCUCCAGCCAGCUUUACCACAGCCAGUUGAAGUUCAGUCUCCAAAGCAGGAUGUGAUUUUUGCUCAGUGUGUGAAGUUUAUCCAACAUCCCUGCCUGGUGUUCCAUCCAGCUGCUGCUCCUGACCCAAAGGUGCUGCUGCAUCCAGAGGCACA